rnacentral:rRNA from 1 species
UUUAAUUGAAGAGUUUGAUCAUGGCUCAGAUUGAACGCUGGCGGCAGGCCUAACACAUGCAAGUCGAGCGGCAGCACAGAGGAA